UACAGAGGUCUCAAGCGUUGUUCGGAUUCAUUGGGCGUAAAGGGUGCGUAGGUGGCGCUGUAAGUCGGGUGUGAAAUUUCGGAGCUUAACUCCGAAACUGCAUUUGAUACUGCGGUGCUUGAGGACUGGAGAGGAGACUGGAAUUUACGGUGUAGCAGUGAAAUGCGUAGAGAUCGUAAGGAAGACCAGUGGCGAAGGCGGGUCUCUGGACAGUUCCUGACACUGAGGCACGAAGGCCAGGGGAGCAAACGGG
rnacentral:rRNA from 1 species